UACGAACUGUGCAAACGUUAUUCGGAAUCACUGGGCUUACAGGGUGCGUAGGCGGCCAGACAAGUAGGGUGUGAAAAGCCCCCGGCUUAACCGGGGAAUGGCGCCCUAAACUGUAUGGCUGGAGUGAGAUAGGGGUGUGCGGAACUUCCGGUGGAGCGGUGAAAUGUGUUGAUAUCGGAAGGAACGCCGGUGGCGAAAGCGGCACACUGGAUCUCAACUGACGCUGAGGCACGAAAGCCAGGGGAGCGAACGGGGA
rnacentral:rRNA from 1 species